AUGAUGCUCAUCUUUGUGCCGCUGCUGCUGCUGCAAACUGCUGCAUGUCUGGAUCGGUUCUGCAGUUUUAAUCAGUCUGAUCCCUGUAACGCAGCUCUGGGAGACAAACUCAAUCUGCUGAUGGUGCUGGAUGCUAGUAAAUAUGACAUUAAGAUACAAAAGAAAAUAAAAAACACAGCAGAUGAUCCAGUUUGUAGAGUAAAGUAUGGCAGGAAGAAGGAAUGUGAUCUUUAUAAUAACAGAACUGAUGUGACAGUCAUUAAUGGGACUGUGAUAAUAAAUCGUGUGAUCAGAGAAGAUUCAGGGAAUUACAAAUUAACUCUCGUUCGCUCAGACGGCUCAGAAACAUCUAGAGAUCUUCAAGUGAUUGUUGAAGCUCCUAUUGGCUCAGUGGAAGUGUCAAUCAUCUGCUUCUCCAGUGGGGGGAUGAGGGUGUUCUGCUCCUCUGAGGGGGAUCAGCUCCUCUACAGCUGGACUCUGAAUGGAGAUCCACUGAUGGAUGGAAACAGCAGCAUUGAUCUGGAUGAGAGAACUGAUGGAGACAUCAGCUGCAGCGUGAAGAACCACGUCAGUCACGCACAGAAGACCAUUAGACUCAAACCCUGUCCUGGUCUGAAUUGGUUCUGCUGGUUUAAUCAGCCUGAUCCCUGUUACGCAGCUCUGGGACACGAACUCAAUCUGCUGAUGGUGCAGGAUGCUAGUGAAUAUGAUCUGAAGAUACAAAAGAGAAUAAACAACACAGCAGAUGAUUCAGAUUGUAGAGUAAAGAAUGGCAGAAUGAGGAUGAGUCAGUGUGAUCUUUAUUAUAACAGACCUGAAGUGACAGUCAUUAAUGGGACUCUGAUAAUAAACCGUGUGACCAGAGCAGAUUCAGGGAAUUUCAGAUUAACUCUCGUUCACUCAGAUGGCUCAGGAACAUCUAGAGAUCUUCAGGUGAUUGUUGAAGCUCCUAUUGGCUCAGUGGAAGUGUCAAUCAUCUGCUCCUCCAGUGGGGGGAUGAGGGUGUUCUGCUCCUCUGAGGGGGAUCAGCUCCUCUACAGCUGGACUCUGAAUGGAGAUCCACUGAUGGAUGGAAACAGCAGCAUUGAUCUGGAUGAGGGAACUGAUGGAGACAUCAGCUGCAGCGUGAAGAACCACGUCAGUCACGCACAGAAGACCAUUAGACUCAAACCCUGUCCUGGUCUGGAUCGGUUCUGCAGGUUUGAUCAGUCUGAUCCCUGUUACGCAGCUCUGGAACACAAACUCAAUCUGAUGAUGGUGCAGGAUGCUAGUAAAUAUGACUUGAAGAUACAAAAGAGAAUAAUCAACACAGCAGAUGGUCCAGUUUGUAGAGUAAAGAAUGGCAGGAUGAGGAUGAGUGAAUGUGAUCUUUAUAAUAACAGACCUGAAGCGACAGUCAUUAAUGGGACUGUGAUAAUAAACCGUGUGAUCAGAGCAGAUUCAGGGAAUUACAGAUUAACUCUCGACAGCUCAUACGGCUCAGAAACAUCUGAAGAUCUUCAAGUGAUUGUUGAAGGUACAGAAACACUCUCAUCAGACUCAUUACAAUCUCAUGUUCUCCAAAGAUCUCACUCUCAUGAAAAGGAAUCAGUUGAAUCUCUGUGAAGGUUUUUAUUCCUGUAGCACACAGUAAACACACUACAUACUCCAGUAAUAAUAUGAGUAGUGUGGAAGAACAAGAGUUUGUGUUUGUCAUGUGACUGUGAUGUGUCCCUCCCUCCAGCUCCUAUUGGCUCUGUGGAAGUGUCAAUCAUCUGCUCCUCCAGUGGGGUGAUGAGGGUGUUCUGCUCCUCUGAGGGGGAUCAGCUCCUCUACAGCUGGACUCUGAAUGGAGGUCCACUGAUGGAUGGAAACAGCAGCAUUGAUCUGGAUGAGAGAACUGAUGGAGACAUCAGUUGCAGCGUGAACAACAACGUCAGCCACUCACAGAAGACCAUUAGACUCAAACCCUGUCCUGGUGAGAUCAUGUCUGUUCAUCUACAGCAGUGGUUCCCAACCACGUUCCUGGAGGCCGCCCAACACUACAGGUUUUCCAUGUCACCUCAAUCAAACACGCCUGGUUCAGAUCAUCAGCUCAUUAGUAGAGACUUGAAAUGGGUGUGUCAGACAAAGGAGAGAUGCAAAGUGUGCAGUGUUGGGGGGUCUCCAGGAAUGAGGCUGGGAAACACUGAUCUACAGAUAUCUACUACACAGAUUGAUUGAUUGAUUAAUUGAUAGAUGUGUUUGUGUUGGUCUGGUGUCUUCAGCUGAUGGUUCUGUUGGGUCUGUUAGGAGCUUUUCACAUCUACAUGAGACACACAUCAGGUGAGAGACAUUUAUCAUCAUCAUUAUAGAUCUGACAUGCAGAUAUUAAGAGUGUGAAGAUGAUGAUGAUGAUGAUGAUGUGAUGUUUUAAGCAAAGAAACAGGAAGAUCAGAAAGUGAGGAUGAGAAGAUUGAGAGAAGGACAUGAAGACACAGCAGAAGAUUCAUGAGAGCAGCAGCAGAUCAUCACAUCUAUUUACACUAUAAUCUCACUGACUCUCACAUCAAUCCAGCUUUCAGAUGUCAAAUAAAACCAGGAGACAGAAGAAGCUUUCA
ensembl:lncRNA